GGGCCUGCUCGGUGAUUUAUAUUUAACAGCUGCGGUAUUAUAACUGUACUAAGGUAGCAUAAUAAUUUGCCUUAUAAAUUGAGGCUAGAAUGAAUGGUUUGACGAAAAUUAUACUGUCUCUAUUUUAUUCAUUAGAAGUUAAUUUUUAUAGUGAGAAAGCUUGGAUGAUUUAAAGGGACGAAAAGACCCUAUUGAGCUUUAUAUUAUAUCUUAAAUAUAAUUUGUUUUGUAUUUAUUUAAAUAUAAUUUUGGUUGGGGUGAUCAAGGAAUAAAGUAUAUUUAUAUUAACUUCCUUAGAUAGUAUAUAUUAAUAAAUUAAUAAACCAAAUUUAUUGCUUAGAAGAUAAGUUACCAUAGGGAUAACAGCGUAAUUUUUUUUGAAAGUUCAUAUUG
rnacentral:rRNA from 1 species